AUAAAACAGAAACUUCAGUCAACUCCUUCGCAGCUGCCUUUGACAUCCCUUUGGGCCUUGUUAAGCUUAUUCAAGGUUUUUGGCUUCUAGACCACAAGGAUUAUGAUAAUUCCCUGGCCCUGCUCUUUGAACCAGCUGCAAUCAAACCUGUGUCGUGGCAAGACGUGAGAAUUCUUCAGUCCCUCAUGUGCCAAGGAGAGCAUGGGCGAGCCCUCACCUACCUGCAGAUGAUGAAGCCACCAUUCGCAAGCAGUCGUGAAGCGCGGCUUUUCCUCACUGUGCUGUUGUCCAAUAGGUGCAUGGCGGAGGCUUGGGGUCUGCUGCAGCAACACACCACUAAGAUAAACGUGGAAGAGCUAUGAAGAGACAUGUAUGACAUCUGUCGGGAGAUGGGACUAGUGGGAGACUUCCUGAAGCUGCCUUUCACAGACUCU